CUGUGAGCUCGAUGAGUAGGGCGGGACACGUGGUAUCCUGUCUGAAUAUGGGGGGACCAUCCUCCAAGGCUAAAUACUCCUGACUGACCGAUAGUGAACCAGUACCGUGAGGGAAAGGCGAAAAGAACCCCGGCGAGGGGAGUGAAAAAGAACCUGAAACCGUGUACGUACAAGCAGUGGGAGCCUCUUUAUGGGGUGACUGCGUACCUUUUGUAUAAUGGGUCAGCGACUUAUAUUCUGUAGCAAGGUUAACCGAAUAGGGGAGCCGAAGGGAAACCGAGUCUUAACUGGGCGUUAAGUUGCAGGGUAUAGACCCGAAACCCGGUGAUCUAGCCAUGGGCAGGUUGAAGGUUGGGUAACACUAACUGGAGGACCGAACCGACUAAUGUUGAAAAAUUAGCGGAUGACUUGUGGCUGGGGGUGAAAGGCCAAUCAAACCGGGAGAUAGCUGGUUCUCCCCGAAAGCUAUUUAGGUAGCGCCUCGUGAAUUCAUCUCCGGGGGUAGAGCACUGUUUCGGCAAGGGGGUCAUCCCGACUUACCAACCCGAUGCAAACUGCGAAUACCGGAGAAUGUUAUCACGGGAGACACACGGCGGGUGCUAACGUCCGUCGUGAAGAGGGAAACAACCCAGACCGCCAGCUAAGGUCCCAAAGUCAUGGUUAAGUGGGAAACGAUGUGGGAAGGCCCAGACAGCCAGGAUGUUGGCUUAGAAGCAGCCAUCAUUUAAAGAAAGCGUAAUAGCUCACUGGUCGAGUCGGCCUGCGCGGAAGAUGUAACGGGGCUAAACCAUGCACCGAAGCUGCGGCAGCGACACUAUGUGUUGUUGGGUAGGGGAGCGUUCUGUAAGCCUGUGAAGGUGUACUGUGAGGUAUGCUGGAGGUAUCAGAAGUGCGAAUGCUGACAUAAGUAACGAUAAAGCGGGUGAAAAGCCCGCUCGCCGGAAGACCAAGGGUUCCUGUCCAACGUUAAUCGGGGCAGGGUGAGUCGACCCCUAAGGCGAGGCCGAAAGGCGUAGUCGAUGGGAAACAGGUUAAUAUUCCUGUACUUGGUGUUACUGCGAAGGGGGGACGGAGAAGGCUAUGUUGGCCGGGCGACGGUUGUCCCGGUUUAAGCGUGUAGGCUGGUUUUCCAGGCAAAUCCGGAAAAUCAAGGCUGAGGCGUGAUGACGAGGCACUACGGUGCUGAAGCAACAAAUGCCCUGCUUCCAGGAAAAGCCUCUAAGCAUCAGGUAACAUCAAAUCGUACCCCAAACCGACACAGGUGGUCAGGUAGAGAAUACCAAGGCGCUUGAGAGAACUCGGGUGAAGGAACUAGGCAAAAUGGUGCCGUAACUUCGGGAGAAGGCACGCUGAUAUGUAGGUGAAGCGACUUGCUCGUGGAGCUGAAAUCAGUCGAAGAUACCAGCUGGCUGCAACUGUUUAUUAAAAACACAGCACUGUGCAAACACGAAAGUGGACGUAUACGGUGUGACGCCUGCCCGGUGCCGGAAGGUUAAUUGAUGGGGUUAGCGGUAACGCGAAGCUCUUGAUCGAAGCCCCGGUAAACGGCGGCCGUAACUAUAACGGUCCUAAGGUAGCGAAAUUCCUUGUCGGGUAAGUUCCGACCUGCAC
rnacentral:rRNA from 1 species